UGAGGAAUUUUCCACAAUGGAGGCAACUCUGAUGGAGCAACGCCGCGUGCAGGAGGACGGUCCUCGGAUCGUAAACUGCUUUUCUCGGGGAAGAGAGCGGACGGUACCCGAGGAACAAGCCCCGGCUAACUACGUGCCAGCAGCCGCGGUAAUACGUAGGGGGCGAGUGUGGUCCGGAGUUACUGGGCGUAAAGCGCCCGCAGGCGGGGUGGCGCGUUUGCACUGACAGCUGCCAGCUUAACUGGCAGAGGUGUGCAAAAACGGCUGCUCUUCGAGGACCAGAGAGGGACAUGGAACUCCAGGUGUAGUGGUGAAAUGCGUAGAUAUCUGGAAGAACACCAAAGGCGAAGGCAGUGUCCUGGCUGGUACCUGACGCUCGGGGGCGAAAGCUAGGGGAGCGAAC
rnacentral:rRNA from 1 species